UACGUAGGGGGCAAGCGUUGUCCGGAAUUAUUGGGCGUAAAGAGCGUGUAGGCGGUCCGGUAAGUCGGCUGUGAAAGUCCAGGGCUCAACCCUGGGAUGCCGGUCGAUACUGCCGGACUAGAGUUCGGAAGAGGCGAGUGGAAUUCCCGGUGUAGCGGUGAAAUGACGCAGAUAUCGGGAGGAACACCUAUGGCGAAGGCAGCUCGCUGGGACGUUACUGACGCUGAGGCGCGAAAGCGUGGGGAGCAAACGGG
rnacentral:rRNA from 1 species